rnacentral:tRNA from 1 species
GGGGGUAUAGCUUAAGUGCUGGAGCGCAUGCUUAGCAUGCACAAGGCCCUGGGGUCAAUCCCCAGUACCUCCA